GAUGAACGCUAGCUACAGGCUUAACACAUGCAAGUCGAGGGGAAACGGCAUUUAGUGCUUGCACUCUUUGGACGUCGACCGGCGCACGGGUGAGUAACGCGUAUCCAACCUUCCCAUUACUGUGGGAUAACCUGCCGAAAGGCAGACUAAUACCGCAUAGUCUUCGAUGACGGCAUCAGAUUUGAAGUAAAGAUUUAUCGGUAAUGGAUGGGGAUGCGUCUGAUUAGCUUGUUGGCGGGGUAACGGCCCACCAAGGCGACGAUCAGUAGGGGUUCUGAGAGGAAGGUCCCCCACAUUGGAACUGAGACACGGUCCAAACUCCUACGGGAGGCAGCAGUGAGGAAUAUUGGUCAAUGGGCGAAAGCCUGACGCAGCGACGCCGCGUGCGGGAAGGAGGCCUUCGGGUCGUAAACCGCUUUCAGCAGGGAAGAAGCCUGACGGUACCUGCAGAAGAAGCCCCGGCUAACUACGUGCCAGCAGCCGCGGUAAUACGUAGGGGGCGAGCGUUAUCCGGAUUCAUUGGGCGUAAAGCGCGCGCAGGCGGCCCGCCAAGCGGCCUCGUCGAAGCCGGGGGCUCAACCCCCGGAAGCGACCCGAACUGGCGGGCUCGAGUGGGGCAGGGGAGGAUGGAAUUCCCGGUGUAGCGGUGAAAUGCGCAGAUAUCGGGAGGAACACCGACGGCGAAGGCCCCCCUCUGGGCCUUCACUGACGCUGAGGCGCGAAAGCUGGGGGAGCGAAAAAAGAUUGAAUACCCUAUAGUCCCAAGGGCGAAUUCACAGUGGAUAUAAGCUUAUCGAAUCCGUGGAGCGCGAGGGGGGGGCCCGCGUACCCUCCUUUUGAUUCCCUUUAUUCAAUAAUAUUAAGUU
rnacentral:rRNA from 1 species